AACAAUGAUGAGAUAUUAGCAGACGGGCGGUCUGAAUUGAUGCCGUGUAGAUUGUCUGCCAUCGCUACUAUGUAGCUUCUCUGAGU